AGCAUAGCCGAGCCUAUGUAGCCGAGCAAGUCAGUCAAGCAUGGAUAGCGGGUGUCGAAUGUCGAAAGUGUGGCUUUAUUUUACUAAAAAAAAUGAAAUAUUGGCGAAAUGUAACACGUGCGACAGGACUGUUUCGUGCUUAGGAGGGUGCACGUCGAACAUGAUGAAGCACCUCCGAGUUCAUGGAGUACAAAUAAAUGCGUGUCCCGUCUUCGACAGGAGACACUAUCUGUCCAGAACGCUCACACACCCUGCCUGAGAAGGCGGAUAUGGUUAGUCCAUCAGUGGGAGCACGGUAACAUGUUUAAGAACCUGCAGUAUAUUACACUUGUGUGUGUAAAUGUGUUUUCAUGAGGUUUCCAAAAUAAAGCUCUCUUGAUGAAAGUGUA